GAAUGUGGCCAGGAAUGUGAGACAGAAUGUGGCUCAGGAUUUCAAAAUUCACUGGAAAAAAACUCACAAAACAGAAACAUUUCAGUGGAAAUAACAGAGUCCUAUAUUAUGAUUUAGACAACAAGAAUUCUUGCCUCUGAUCUAUUGUGACCAAGUGUGUCAUCUUAGGGAGGUAUGGUCGUGAAGAGCACCGAUUACAGAAGGAGAAUUGCAACUGCUUUGCACCAAAGACAAGAGGCCAAAAGAAAGGCAUUCCUCAUCUUGAAAGCCUAGUUUUGAAAUCCCAGAGCCAAAAUUUGGACCCAAAGUGAUAGAUUUUUGAAAGCCUGCAUGUUGAAGACAAAAAAGUCCAUAUAGCCAGCACCUUCAAGAAGCAGAAGAUGAGUUUCUGAAGACAGAAGACCAUGUCUCAUUCAUCUGAACAUCUCCAGAACCUAACACAGAAUUAUUCUUAAAAAAUAUUUGUCAAAGUGAAUUACAGUCAUUCCUAGAGCCCUUAACUGGGUUAAACCCCUUUAGUGACAUGUGGAUUAUAGACUUUCCAAAUUUUAAGGAACUGUACUAUACCAUAUAAAUAGCACCAUUGGCCAUGCUUACCAUAUGAUCCAAUAGGUUGCACAGUGAAGCUCUGUAGUAUGCUCUUGCUAUGUGAUUUUUUUUAAUUUUACUUUAAGUUCCAGAAUACAAGUGCAGAACAUGCAGGUUUGUUACAUAGGUAUACAUGUGCCAUAGUGGUUUGCUGCACCUAUCAACACAUCAUUCUAGGUUUUAAGCCCCACAUGUAUUAGCUAUUUGUCCUAAUGCUCUCCCUCCCCUUGCCCCUCACCCCCCGCCACUGGCCCCUGUAUGUGCUGUUCCCCUCCCUGUGUCCAUGUGUUCUCAUUGUUCAACUCCCACUUAUGAGAACAUGCAGUGUUUGGUUGCUACGUGGUAUUUUUGAGGAGAAAAUAGUAAUAUAUUUUUUAAAACGGACUCUAAAAGCAGGGUUAUGUACUCUCAAGCUGAAGAUUUAAAUCACACACGAAGUCAUUAAUUUUUAAAAAUGCUUUUCAUCCAUUUUCUUGGCAGUCAGAGAAAACCUACUGCAGAAGCAGCCAUUGGGAACCAUUGCCUGGCCUAUGCAGCUAUGUAGCAAUAUUUUGUGAGCUAUCUUUCUUUAUAACUUGUCCCAGAAUAGACCUGUUUUGCCUGAGACUGGGCAAACCAACUGAAAGGAUUCAAAGUCUCUCAAAUCCCAGAUAUUAUAUGUUAUUUGUGGUUGCACGAGGUGUGCAGUCUGGGAAAUUUUGACUUAAUUAGAAACAGGAAGAAAACCUAGCUGGGGACUGGAAAGGAAUUUUCCAUUAUUGGGCAUCUAUUCUGUGUCCAGCAUUGUGCUGGGGGACAUUCAAGCAUGUUAUUUAAUUUAAUUCUGAUAUAAACCUUAAAUGAGACAAACAUUGUUACAGGAAAUUUUUUAGGAACAAAGAAGUUAAAUGACAUACAAGAUCACUGCUGCACAUUGGGUUUCUUGGAAGCAGACUUUGAGAUGGAGAUUUGUGAUCAGAAAAUUUGUUAGGGAAUAUUCUCAGGCUCAGCAUCUGGAGGGGAAGAGCAAGAGGCAGGACAGGCAGAGGGAGAAGCUGGGCUUCAGUGUGGUUCCAAUAAGGCCUCAGCUUAUCUGAUAGAGAGCCCUAGAGCUGUCAUGACCCUUAAGAGAUGUUCUGAGUUGGGAUGAGGGGACUGGAAUUUUACGCUCUCAUGUCAGCCAGUUGGAUGAAGUCUGAAGCAAUUGUAGCACCUGGGGGGAAGUAAGUUCUUCAGUCCUGAAUAGAGAUCAGAGCAACAUAUCACAGAGUCUGCUAUAGUCAACCAGCCUGGAAGUAACAAAGCUAGCAUAUGAAUACAGCUUUGACUUCAAAGCUCAUGCACUUUUCCACUCACUUGAGUCAAUAGGCAAUCAGCCAGUUAAGUACCCAUACAUUUUACCAUUUUAGAAAAGGGCAAAUAAUUAAUAAUAAUAAUAAUUUGCAUCCUGGUUUUGGAAAUAUGGCCUUGGUGUCUUGACAUCAUGAAAAUUCUCCAAAUUUUAUAUAGAUAAUUCAACCUUGGAUCUAUUAUCAUCUUUUAUGAUAAACACCUUUUUUAAAAUUAUUCACAAAAAUUUCCUUACUUCUUAAACUAGGUUCAACUAAAACAAUAUGCUGAAGACUUAAAACAUACUGAAUCUAAGUUGAUUCAUUAUAUAACUUCCAAAUGUUUCAUCUUAGAAUUCAGGAAUAAUUUAAUAGCAUAACUUGUGCCAGAUGUGUGGCAUUCAUUUUUAAAUAUUUUUGAUUCACCUAAGACCUAAUAGCUAAGGACAGAUAUUGGUUUAGAACUCCCAGGAGAAAAAAUGCACAGGAACUCAGAAAGCCUUAAUGAAAUGCAUGUGCUCCUCAUCUUGAUAUGGAAAUCCAAAAAGUGUAGCUAAAAUCUAUCAGCCAUGUUCUUCAACUUGUACGUUGUCAUGAUUGAGCUGAUGUAAAACCCAUGGCAGAUAAAGCAUUCAUCCAUUCAACAAACAUGUAACAGAGGACCUAUGGUAUGCAAGGAUCAGUGUUUAGUACUCUAAGCAUCCUACCCAUGACUUCACUCUUCCAAGAAAUUUGGUCUGCUUUCCAGCUGCAUCAUAACAGCAUCUUUUUCCUGCCUUGUUUUAAAGCAAGCAAUCAUUCUAUGUAACAAGUAAAACCAAAUAUCCUCGUCAACUGCCUUCACAUGCAAAUUUUCCUCAGCUUAUGAUGGGGUUACAGCCUGAUAAAUCCUUCAUAAGUUGAAAAUACCGUAAGUUGAAAAUAUAUUUAAUAUGUCUAACCUGCUGAACAUGAUAGCUUAGCCUAGCCUAUGUUAAAUGUUAUCAGAACACUCCCAUUAGCUUACAGUUGGGCAAAAUCAUCUAACACAAAGCCUAUUUCAUGAUAAAGUGUUGAAUAUAUCAUGUAAUUUAUUGAAUACUGUACUGAAAGUGAAAAACAGAAUGCUUGUGUAGGCACGUGAAAUACAGUUUCUACUGAAUGCAUAUUGCUUUCAGCACCAUGGUAAAGUAAAAAAAUCAUAAAUCAAGGGCCCUCUGUAUAUGUACAAUUAUUAUAGAUUUGGAUGGUAUAAAAUUUUGCAAUUUGUGUUUAGGAAAAUCAAAAGUACUGGCAUUUUUGUUCUUUCUCCCUUUCAAGCUAGUAUGAGAAAAAAAGCAAGUAAUGUAUUCCAAAGUGUACACUGAAAAAGACUGAGAUUAUUUAAGGACAUCUGAAAAGAUUUUUCACUUACAUAUGGCAUUAUAUCAUAAUUUAGGUCUGCCCUCUACCACAUUAUUGCUGCCCCAGGCACUGAAAUGUUUUCUUUCCUGUAGUGCAGUGGUUCUCAUAGUGUGGUUCCCAGACCAGCAGGUAUCAAUGUCACCUGAAAACUUAUUAGAAAUGCAAAUUAUUGGAUCCCUCCCCAGAUCUACUAAAUCAGAAACUCUGGGGGUGGGGCUCAGCAAUACGUGUGUUAAUAAGUUGUGCAUAAUUUUCAUGCAUGCUAAAGUUUCAGAACCAUGGUUUUAAGGUUAUAUAUUAAAUCAUGUUUUUCAAUUUCCAUUCAAUAAAUGUUUAUUUGGGGUCAUGUAAUAAGUGCUACACAUUAUUCAACCUUUGCCAAUGGCACUCAUGCAUCAUAUACAGUUUUUAAAAUAUAUUUAUGUCCAUUUUUAGCAUGAUAUUACAUAUCAUGUAUGCUGGGCACAAUCGUGUUUUCUCAAGCUCACCAGGUGAUUUUGAUGCACUCUCAAGCUUGAGAAGUACACUGUAACUCAUUAUCCAUUAGUCCUGGCCAAAACAGAAACCUGGUAUAAGCCACAGCAAUAAGUAGGAAUGUUGUACUCAUCUUUAAAGACAAGAGGCAAACAAAGAUCUAAGAAUUCUUGGCAGCACAGAGCAUCUUGCUGCAUUUUCAGGCAAUGAAGUCUAUCAGCUAAAGUAGUGGAUUCUGCAUAAGAACACAUGGGUUUGAGUCUUGGUUCUUUGACCUCCUGGCUGUAACUUCUUAGGAGGUCAUUUAAUCUUCAUCAUAAUUUGUUUCCUCAUCUAUGAAAAUAGGACUUUGCCUUGGAGAUCUCUAUGGUGACUUUCAGCUCUAAGUUCUGUGAUUCCAAGCAUCUCAAUCAAUAUGUAUAUUAUUAUCAUUUUGGAGACGACCAUAUUACCAUUUGUUUCCACUUCAUGCUACUACUUAAAAGCAUAUCAAAAAUCUCUUAUAACUCAAUAAGAGAAAGGGCAAUUAAAAAAUGAGUAAAAGAUCUGAGUAGACAUUUAUCCAAAUAAGAUAAUAUACAAAUGGAAAAUAACCAUAUGAAAAGAUGCUCAACAGACAGACAGAGAAGAAGGAUGGUUACCAGAGCCUGGGAACGGUACUGGGGGCUAGAGGAGAGCUAGCGAUGAUUAAUGGGUACAAAAAAGAGUUAGAAAGAAUGAAUAAGGUCUACUAUUUGAUAAGCACAAUAAAGUGACUAUGGUCAGCAAUAACAAUUGUACAUUUUAAAAAUAAUGAAUGUAACUGGAUUGUUUGUAACUCGAAGGAUAAAUACUUGAGGGGAUGGAUACUCCAUUCUUCAUGACAUGCUUAUUUCACAUUGCAUGCCUGUAUCAAAACAUCUCAUGUACCCCAUAAAUAUAUACACCCACUAUGUACCCACAAAAAAAUUUAAAAAUUAAAAAAAAAUUUUAAAGAUGCUCAACAUUAUUAUCAUCAGAUAAAUGCCAUUCAAAACCACAACGAGAUACCACUUCAUACCCCUUAGAAUGACUAAAAUAAAAAAGACUGACAAUAACACGUGUUGUGGAGGAUGUGGGAAGAACUCAGAAUCCCAAUACAUAGCUAGUGGGAUUGUAAAAUUAUGCAGCUGCUUAGAAAACAGUUUAGCAAUUCCUCAGUUAAACAUAGACGUUCUACAUAACCCAACAGUUCUACUUCUAGAUGUAUACCCAAGAGAAUUGAAAACAUUAAGUUAAAAAAGUUCUACACAAAUGUUCAUAGCAACACUAUUCACAGCAGCUAAAACGUGGAAACAAUACAAACAUCUAUCAAUGAUGAAUGGGUAAAUAAAAUGUGGUCUUACCCAUACAAUAGAACAUUCUUCAAUAAUAAAAAGAAUGAUAUAUGAAUACACAUUACAAUAUGGAUGAACCUCCAAAAUGUACUAAUUGAGAGAAGACAGUCACAAAAACUACAUAUUUUAUGAUUCCAUAUUUAUGAAGUGUCCAGAAGAGGCAAAUCCAUAGACACAGAAAGUAGUUUCCUGGUUACCUAGGGCUGGAAACACUUUGGGGAAGUGGAGGAGGGGUGUGAUUGCUAAAGGGUAUAGGUUUCUUUUGAGAUGCUGAAAAUAUUCUGAAAUUAAUUGUGGUGACAGUCGCACAAUUUUGCAAAUAUACUGAAAAUCAUUAAAUUAUGCUAAAAAUGGGUGAGCUGUAUGGUAUGUAAAUUAGAUCUCAAUAAAGCUGUUACAAAGAAA